GAGUUUGAUCCUGGCUCAGGACGAACGCUGGCGGCGUGCUUAACACAUGCAAGUCGAGCGGUAAGGCUUCCUUCGGGGGGUACACGAGCGGCGAACGGGUGAGUAACACGUGAGUAAUCUGCCCUUCACUCUGGGAUAAGCACCGGAAACGGUGUCUAAUACCGGAUACGACCAACCUGCGCAUGUGGUGUUGGUGGAAAGUUUUUCGGUGGGGGAUGCGCUCGCGGCCUAUCAGCUUGAUGGUGGGGUAAUGGCCUACCAUGGCGUCGACGGGUAGCCGGCCUGAGAGGGUGACCGGUCACACUGGGACUGAGACACGGCCCAGACUCCUACGGGAGGCAGCAGUGGGGAAUAUUGGACAAUGGGCGGAAGCCUGAUCCAGCAACGCCGCGUGAGGGA
rnacentral:rRNA from 1 species